rnacentral:rRNA from 1 species
AUGAACGCUGGCGGCGUGCCUAAUACAUGCAAGUCGAGCGAACGGACGAGAAGCUUGCUUCUCUGAUGUUAGCGGCGGACGGGUGAGUAGCACGUGGAUAACCUACCUAUAAGACUGGGAUAACUUCGGGAAACCGUAGCUAAUACCGGAUAAUAUUUUGAACCGCAUGGUUCAAAAGUGAAAGACGGUCUUGCUGUCACUUAUAGAUGGAUCCGCGCUGCAUUAGCUAGUUGGUAAGGUAACGGCUUACCAAGGCAACGAUGCAUAGCCGACCUGAGAGGGUGAUCGGCCACACUGGAACUGAGACACGGUCCAGACUCCUACGGGAGGCAGCAGUAGGGAAUCUUCCGCAAUGGGCGAAAGCCUGACGGAGCAACGCCGCGUGAGUGAUGAAGGUCUUCGGAUCGUAAAACUCUGUUAUUAGGGAAGAACAUAUGUGUAAGUAACUGUGCACAUCUUGACGGUACCUAAUCAGAAAGCCACGGCUAACUACGUG